UACGUAGGUGGCGAGCGUUGUCCGGAUUUACUGGACGUAAAGAGCGCGCAGGCGGCUGGUCAAGUCCGAUGUGAAAGCUCCCGGCUUAACUGGGAAAUUGCAUCGGAAACUGAUCGGCUGGAAGGUGGGAGAGGGUAGCGGAAUUCCCGGUGUAGUGGUGAAAUGCGUAGAUAUCAGGAGGAACACCGAUGGCGAAGGCAGCACUCUGGGACGUGACUGACGCUGAGACGCGAAAGCGUGGGGAGCAAACAGG
rnacentral:rRNA from 1 species